rnacentral:rRNA from 1 species
UUUUGUGGCCAAGCCUCCUCAUCAAAGCCUGAAUAGAUCUCAGAGGCUAAGUGGUGUUGGGCCUGGUCAGUACCUGGAUGGGAGACCGCUUGGGAAUACCAGGUGCCACAGUGG